rnacentral:lncRNA from 1 species
GUCAGGGGGUCGCACCGGGCAGUGGGGGGAUGGGGUCGUCGUCGCUGUCGGUGUUCUCCUCUGUGGAGCCGCCAUAGGGGUCAUCGGGGGGCAGCGAGGUCACCCUGCGGGGUCACGGGGUCACCACGGGGUCACGGGGUCACCGCGGGGUCAGAUGGGGGUCACGGGGUCACCGCGGGGUCACCACGGGGUCAGCCAGGGGUCACUCGGGGCCACAGGGGUCACCACAGGGUCACCGUGGGGUCAGCAUGGGGUCAAGGGACCAGCCAGGGGUCACUCAGGGUCACAGGGGUCACCCAGGGUCACAGGGGUCACCGCGGGGUCACCAAUGGGGUCUCACCGCCGCAAUUCGUCCUCUGUGUCCCCAGCGCUGUCCUCAGCGUCACCUGGGGGGGAACUGGGAUGGACUGGGAGGGAACUGGGAUGGAACUGGGAGGAAAUGGGGAUACUGGGAAGGACUGGGAGGGAACUGGGAGGGAACUGGGAUGGACUGGGAGGGAACUGGGGAUACUGGGAAGGACUGGGAGGGAACUGGGAAGACUGGGAGGGAACUGGGAUGGGAACGGGGAUACUGGGAAGGACUGGGAGAGAACUGGGAGGACUGGGAGGGAACUGGGAUGGACUGAGAAGGAACUGGGAUGGGAACAGGGAUACUGGGAAGGACUGGGAGAGAACUGGGAGGGAACUGGGAGGGAAUGGGGAUGGGAAUAGGGAUACUGGGAUGGACUGGGAGGGAACUGGGAAGACUGGGAGGGAACUGGGAUGACCCGGGAGGGGGCGGAGCUAAGCCAGGGAAGGGGCGGGACCAACGCAAAGCCCCUCCCACCUUCAGGAGUGUUGCCAUUGGACGAGGGCGGUGUCGGGGGGCGGGGCUUAGCCGUGGUAGCACCGCCCACAUGGGCGGGGCGUUGGUGGGAGGUGGGCGGAGCUUCAGUUGGCUCCUCCUCCCCGUCGCUGCCAGAAGAGGCGGAGCCACCCAGGAGGUAACUGUCGGAAGUGGGCGUGGUCAGCGGGCGUCCCGCCCACCGAGGGGCGUGGCCUCGUGUGGCCACGCCCACUUGUCUCAUAUAAGCCAUAAAUGGACCCCCCAGACCCCAUAGAAACCCCCAUAGGGACCCCCCAGACCCCACAGGG